GAGAUCUUAGCUUAAUUGGUCAAGCAUGUGACUUUUAAUCAUUAUUAUAUGGGUUCGAAUCCCGUAGGUCUUA
rnacentral:tRNA from 1 species